GGCCGCGGGAAUUCGAUUCAGGCCUAACACAUGCAAGUCGAACGAACUCUGGUAUUGAUUGGUGCUUGCAUCAUGAUUUACAUUUGAGUGAGUGGCGAACUGGUGAGUAACACGUGGGAAACCUGCCCAGAAGCGGGGGAUAACACCUGGAAACAGAUGCUAAUACCGCAUAACAACUCGGACCGCAUGGUCCGAGCUUGAAAGAUGGCUUCGGCUAUCACUUUUGGAUGGUCCCGCGGCGUAUUAGCUAGAUGGUGGGGUAACGGCUCACCAUGGCAAUGAUACGUAGCCGACCUGAGAGGGUAAUCGGCCACAUUGGGACUGAGACACGGCCCAAACUCCUACGGGAGGCAGCAGUAGGGAAUCUUCCACAAUGGACGAAAGUCUGAUGGAACAGCGCCGCGUGAGUGAAGAAGGGUUUCGGCUCGUAAAACACGGGGUUAAAGAAGAACAUAUCUGAGAGUAACUGUUCAGGUAUGACGGUAUAACC
rnacentral:rRNA from 1 species